CGGCCGCCGCCUCUUUAGCCACCGCCGCCGGCAGCGAAGACGCGGAGAAAAAAGUUCUCGCCACCAAAGUCCUUGGCACUGUCAAAUGGUUCAACGUCAGAAAUGGAUAUGGAUUUAUAAAUCGAAAUGACACCAAAGAAGAUGUAUUUGUACAUCAGGUAAGAGGGAUUAUAAAUACUACAUUUGCUAUGUGAGGAGAGGGUGUGUAAUCUUCUGUCAGCCCUUUCCCAAAAGUAAGUCCUAUGGAUUAUUAUUUUAAUCUAAACUCUUUCUGUGAUUUAUUUUGCAACAGGAGUUCAGUUCCACAUUUUAAGAUUGGCAAAUAAGUUCUUCUACCCCAUCAUAUUAACUGUUUUCAAAUAGUUUUAUUUUUGCAGUUGUAUAAAGUGAUAUUUGGUUAGACCACUUUCUAAUUUUUAAAGCCUUUGAGUCCUUAGC
rnacentral:ncRNA from 2 species